rnacentral:rRNA from 1 species
UACAGAGGUGGCAAGCGUUGUUCGGAAUUACUGGGCGUAAAGGGCGCGUAGGCGGCCUUCUAAGUCAGACGUGAAAUCCCCCGGCUUAACCUGGGAACUGCGUCUGAUACUGGGGGGCUUGAGUAUGGGAGAGGGAUGUAGAAUUCCAGGUGUAGCGGUGAAAUGCGUAGAUAUCUGGAGGAAUACCGGUGGCGAAGGCGGCAUCCUGGACCAUAACUGACGCUGAGGCGCGAAAGCUAGGGGAGCAAACGGG